AACGCACGAGACCUGCGGACCUGCGGAAGGAUCAUUAAUGAGAAGCUGCCCCUCGUGGGUAGACCUCCCACCCUCUGUGAACUUACCUUUGUUGCUUUGGCAGGCCCGUCCCCUGGACCGCCGGCUUCGGCUGGCCCGUGCCUGCCAGAGGAUUCCAAACCCUGUCUGUCAGUGUUGUCUGAGUCUAUAUGAAAUCGUUAAAACUUUUAACAACGGAUCUCUAGAUCGGAAGAGCACACG
rnacentral:misc_RNA from 1 species